rnacentral:rRNA from 1 species
UACGGAGGAUGCGAGCGUUAUCCGGAUUUAUUGGGUUUAAAGGGUGCGUAGGUUGUUUUAUAAGUUAGCGGUGAAAUACCGAUGCUCAACAUCGGGGCUGCCGCUGAUACUGUAGGACUAGAGAUCGGAUGCAGCAGGCGGAAUGUGUAGUGUAGCGGUGAAAUGCAUAGAUAUUACACAGAACACCGAUUGCGAAGGCAGCUUGCUAGGCCGGAUCUGACACUGAUGCACGAAAGCGUGGGGAUCGAACAGG